GCUCCCUCGCCGCCCAUCCACGACUCCCUAACGGGAACGGUCCGAAGGCGAGUGGGGAAUCGUUUGGGACUUACGAAAUCGGGGGGACAACCCGGGUACGAUGCAGCGACGCCGCGUGAGGCGAGUAGAAGCCCUUUCGGGGUGUAAAGGACUCUUUCGACGGUAACGGAAGUAAUAGACGGUACCCGGAACGAAGAAGACUAGCCGGCUAACUACGUGCCAGCAGCCGCGGUAAUAC
rnacentral:rRNA from 1 species